GAUGAACGCUGGCGGCGUGCCUAAUACAUGCAAGUCGAGCGAAUGACGAGGAGCUUGCUCCUCUGAUUUAGCGGCGGACGGGUGAGUAACACGUGGGUAACCUGCCUGUAAGACGGGGAUAACUCCGGGAAACCGGAGCUAAUACCGGAUGAUAACGAGAAGCGCCUGCUUCUUUUUUGAAAGUCGGUUUCGGCUGACGCUUACAGAUGGGCCCGCGGCGCAUUAGCUAGUUGGUGAGGUAACGGCUCACCAAGGCGACGAUGCGUAGCCGACCUGAGAGGGUGAUCGGCCACACUGGGACUGAGACACGGCCCAGACUCCUACGGGAGGCAGCAGUAGGGAAUCUUCGGCAAUGGACGAAAGUCUGACCGAGCAACGCCGCGUGAGCGAUGAAGGCCUUCGGGUCGUAAAGCUCUGUUGUCAGAGAAGAACAAGUACCGGAGUAACUGCCGGUACCUUGACGGUACCUGACCAGAAAGCCACGGCUAACUACGUGCCAGCCGCCGCGGUAAUAC
rnacentral:rRNA from 1 species